AAACUUUCAACAACGGAUCUCUUGGUUCUGGCAUCGAUGAAGAACGCAGCGAAAUGCGAUAAGUGAUGUGAAUUGCAGAAUUCAGUGAAUCAUCGAAUCUUUGAACGCACAUUGCGCCCUCUGGUAUUCCGGAGGGCAUGCCUGUUCGAGCGUCAUUUCA
rnacentral:rRNA from 1 species